rnacentral:rRNA from 1 species
UACGUAGGGACCGAGCGUUGUCCGGAUUCAUUGGGCGUAAAGAGCUCGUGGGCGGCUUGUCGCGUCGUCCGUGAAAACUCACAGCUCAACUGUGAGCUUGCGGUCGAUACGGGCAGGCUAGAGUUCGGUAGGGGAGACUGGAAUUCCUGGUGUAGCGGUGAAAUGCGCAGAUAUCAGGAGGAACACCGGUGGCGAAGGCGGGUCUCUGGGCCGAUACUGACGCUGAGGAGCGAAAGCGUGGGGAGCGAACAGG